GAGAGAGAGAGAGAGAGAGAGAGGAGGAGGAGCGAUCGCCGACCACCACCGAGCCAUGCACCCAUUGGCGGCGACGACCACCACCGCUACUGGCCCACCACCACCUCCGGCAACCACCAGCACACCCCUUCCCUUUCGCCCACGUCUCUAUUUUUUGCCCCCACGCAACACAGACGAACAGAGGCAGCGAAAAACGAACAGGUUUGGAGAUCGAAAGAGGGAGAGGUUAGAUGCGAGAUCUUGGCGUCUUUCAUGCUAUUUCUAGAGUUUUCUUCCAUAUUAAUUGUUUGAUUUUAAAAGUAGAGUAUGAAGUGGGGUUGCGAAGUGACCCAACAAUUAACCCGAAAGACAAUGAUCUUCUUAUAGUUUACACUAAUCAGUUGGAGCAAUUCUACUUGAGGGAGAAAACAAGUAGUUGUCUUGGAAAGAAAUGUGAUUGAUCAGUAAUCGCUUAACUUAUCUUGUUGAUCCCUUGAAUUGAAAUGUGAUUCUUUUUAUUUACCAAACAUUACUUUUGCUAAUUACAAAGCAACGGCCUGGAUGUAGUAUCCCACUAACUUAUCUUGCAGUGUUUAUAAAUUAUACUCAUGAUUGGUUGUUUAAGAGU